UACGUAGGGUGCAAGCGUUGUCCGGAAUUAUUGGGCGUAAAGAGCUCGUAGGCGGUUUGUUGCGUCGGCUGUGAAAUCCCGAGGCUCAACCUCGGAUCUGCAGUCGAUACGAGCAAACUAGAGUGUUGCAGGGGAGACUGGAAUUCCUGGUGUAGCGGUGAAAUGCGCAGAUAUCAGGAGGAACACCGGUGGCGAAGGCGGGUCUCUGGGCAACAACUGACGCUGAGGAGCGAAAGCGUGGGGAGCGAACAGG
rnacentral:rRNA from 1 species